rnacentral:rRNA from 1 species
GGUUAAGCGACUAAGCGUACACGGUGGAUGCCCUGGCAGUCAGAGGCGAUGAAGGACGUGCUAAUCUGCGAAAAGCGUCGGUAAGGUGAUAUGAACCGUUAUAACCGGCGAUGUCCGAAUGGGGAAACCCAGUGUUAUUCGUCACACUAUCGUUAACUGAAUACAUAGGUUAACGAGGCGAACCGGGGGAACUGAAACAUCUAAGUACCCCGAGGAAAAGA